AUAGCGUUCAUUUCCCUAAGGGAGGAGAAAAAAUUAAAUUUGUAAGCUUAAGAUUCCAGCUGAAGUACUCAAGAAUCCUGUUUCUCUGACAGAGGAAAGGAACAACAACUUGACUGGACACAUCCUAACCCAACCAUACGCUGUGUUACUUCCUCCACUGCGCCACACACAGCUAUUAUUCUAAGCUCUCUUAUUCAAACCCUUAAGGAUUUGUAAGGUAGAAACUCUUCCACAUGGCUGAAUCUCUGCUGCUUAUUUUUAGAGAACACUAAGAAGAUGGGCAGAAAUCAAAGCUUCCUGGUGUGAGGUUGUGGUAGAAGAUUCCUGGUUGAUCAAUGUAUAGAAGAUGGAAAUGGAUUCCAGUUGUGGGAAGGAAGAAAUCAUUGCUGCAGUCUCAGUCUGCUCUGCAGGAAUAGACCAUCUGAGGACACAGCACGAAGGUGGCCAUCUGCAAUUCAAGGAGAGA
rnacentral:lncRNA from 1 species